rnacentral:rRNA from 1 species
UACAGAGGUCCCAAGCGUUGUUCGGAUUUACUGGGCGUAAAGGGCGCGUAGGCGGUCAGCACAAGUCAGUUGUGAAAUCUCCGGGCUUAACUCGGAAAGGUCAACUGAUACUGUGCGACUAGAGUGCAGAAGGGGCAACUGGAAUUCUCGGUGUAGCGGUGAAAUGCGUAGAUAUCGAGAGGAACACCUGCGGCGAAGGCGGGUUGCUGGGCUGACACUGACGCUGAUGCGCGAAAGCCAGGGAGCGAACGGG